UACGUAGGGGGCAAGCGUUAUCCGGAUUUACUGGGUGUAAAGGGAGCGUAGACGGCGUGCCAAGUCUGGUGUGAAAGCCCGGGGCCCAACCCCGGGACUGCUUUGGAAACUGUGUAACUGGAGUACAGGAGGGGCAGGCGGAAUUCCUAGUGUAGCGGUGAAAUGCGUAGAGAUUAGGAAGAACACCAGUGGCGAAGGCGACUUACUGGACUGUAACUGACGCUGAGGCAUGAGAGCAUGGGGAGCAAACAGG
rnacentral:rRNA from 1 species